UACGGAAGGCAGCAGUGGGGAAUAUUGCACAAUGGGCGCAAGCCUGAUGCAGCCAUGCCGCGUGUAUGAAGAAGGCCUUCGGGUUGUAAAGUACUUUCAGUCGUGAGGAAGGUGUUAAGGUUAAUAACCUUAGCAAUUGACGUUAGCGACAGAAGAAGCACCGGCUAACUCCGUGCCAGCAGCCGCGGUAAUACGGAGGGUGCGAGCGUUAAUCGGAAUUACUGGGCGUAAAGGGCACGCAGGCGGUUAAUUAAGUUGGAUGUGAAUCCCCGGGCUUAACCUGGGAAUGGCAUUCAAGACUGGUUAGCUAGAGUCUUGUAGAGGGGGUAGAAUUCCAUGUGUAGCGGUGAAAUGCGUAGAGAUGUGGAGGAAUACCGGUGGCGAAGGCGGCCCCCUGGACAAAGACUGACGCUCAUGUGCGAAAGCGUGGGGAGCAAACAGGGAUUAGAUACC
rnacentral:rRNA from 1 species